UACGUAGGGGGCUAGCGUUGUCCGGAAUCAUUGGGCGUAAAGAGCGUGUAGGCGGCUUGGUAAGUCCGCUGUGAAAGUCCAGGGCUCAACCCCUGGAAAGCCAGUGGAAACUGUCAAGCUAGAGUCCGGAAGAGGCGAGUGGAACUCCUGGUGUAGCGGUGAAAUGCGCAGAUAUCAGGAAGAACACCAAUGGCGAAGGCAGCUCGCUGGGACGGUACUGACGCUGAGACGCGAAAGCGUGGGGGAGCAAACAGG
rnacentral:rRNA from 1 species